rnacentral:rRNA from 1 species
UACGAAGGGGGCAAGCGUUACUCGGAAUUACUGGGCGUAAAGCGUGCGUAGGCGGCUUGGUAAGUUGGAAGUGAAAGCCUAGGGCUCAACCUUAGAAUUGCUUUCAAAACUGCCUGGCUAGAGUACUAGAGAGGAUAGCGGAAUUCCUAGUGUAGAGGUGAAAUUCGUAGAUAUUAGGAGGAACACCGGAAGCGAAAGCGGCUAUCUGGCUAGACACUGACGCUGUUGCACGAAAGCGUGGGGAGCAAAC